rnacentral:rRNA from 1 species
GAGUUUGAUCGUGGCUCAGAUUGAACGCUGGCGGCAUGCCUUACACAUGCAAGUCGAACGGCAGCAUGAUCUAGCUUGCUAGAUUGAUGGCGAGUGGCGAACGGGUGAGUAAUACAUCGGAACGUGCCCUGUAGUGGGGAGUAACUAGUCGAAAGAUUAGCUAAUACCGCAUACGACCUGAGGGUGGAAAGUAGGGGGACCGG